AUGACCUUUCCAAGCUCUUGUGGGCUGGUGCUGUUGGAGUGGAGCUUCUACAGCUUGGGAAGCUCGGAAAAAGAAAGGGAAAAACCAAACAAAAAGACCAAAGCGGCAUUCACCCUCCUCGAGUGCGUGCGUCUGUCUGUGGGCAUCACAGCCCUCUUGGAGCAAGGUGGGCAGCAGCAGCUCCAGAGCAAACACCCUCCAGGGGUGGCAGCGUGGAGUCGUGUGAUUGUGCUCUGCGCUUCUAAGGAGCAAUACUGCGCUUUGCAAUCAAUGGAGCUUAAAAAUACAAUGGCCAGAUGCUGUCAGCUGAUGCCAAAUGCAAGAGUCUGCAAAAGAGCCCUAGACUGA
rnacentral:lncRNA from 1 species